rnacentral:rRNA from 1 species
CCUACGUGCGGCUGCAGUCGAGAAUCUUUCACAAUGGGGGAAACCCUGAUGGUGCGACGCCGCGUGGGGGAAUGAAGGUCUUCGGAUUGUAAACCCCUGUCAUGUGGGAGCAAAUUAAAAAGAUAGUACCACAAGAGGAAGAGACGGCUAACUCUGUGCCAGCAGCCGCGGUAAUACAGAGGUCUCAAGCGUUGUUCGGAAUCAUUGGGCGUAAAGCGUGCGUAGGCUGUUUCGUAAGUGGUGUGUGAAAGGCGGGGGCUCAACCCGCGGACGGCACAUGAUACUGCGAGACUAGAGUAGUGGAGGGGGAAGCGGAAUUCUCGGUGUAGCAGUGAAAUGCGUAGAUA